rnacentral:rRNA from 1 species
GGAAUAUUGGACAAUGGGCGAAAGCCUGAUCCAGCCAUGCCGCGUGGGUGAAGAAGGCCUUAGGGUUGUAAACCCCUUUCAGCGGGGAAGAUAAUGACGGUACCAGCAGAAGAAGCCCCGGCUAAAUCCGUGACAGCAGCCGCGGUAAUACGGGGGGGGCUAGCGUUGUUCGGAAUUACUGGGCGUAAAGCGCGCGUAGGCGGAUCUGCAAGUCAGGGGUGAAAUCCCGAGGCUCAACCUCGGAACUGCCUUUGAUACUGCGGAUCUGGAGUCCGAGAGAGGUGAGUGGAAUUCCUAGUGUAGAGGUGAAAUUCGUAGAUAUUAGGAAGAACACCAGUGGCGAAGGCGGCUCACUGGCUCGGUACUGACGCUGAGGCGCGAAAGCGUGGGGAGCAAAC